rnacentral:rRNA from 1 species
AACGAACGCUGGCGGCAUGCCUAACACAUGCAAGUCGAACGAGACCUUCGGGUCUAGUGGCGCACGGGUGCGUAACGCGUGGGAACCUGCCCUUAGGUUCGGAAUAACUCCCCGAAAGGGGUGCUAAUACCGGAUAAUGUCUUCGGACCAAAGAUUUAUCGCCUUUGGAUGGGCCCGCGUUGUAUUAGCUAGUUGGUAGGGUAAAAGCCUACCAAGGCGACGAUCCAUAGCUGGUCAGAGAGGAUGAUCAGCCACACUGGGACUGAGACACGGCCCAGACUCCUACGGGAGGCAGCAGUGGGGAAUAUUGGACAAUGGGCGAAAGCCUGAUCCAGCACUGCCGCGUGAGUGAUGAAGGCCUUAGGGUUGUAAAGCUCUUUUACCCGGGAUGAUAAUGACAGUACCGGGAGAAUAAGCUCCGGCUAACUCCGUG